AGAACAUGGCUGGGAAGAGCUUGUGCGCUACACCUGUUCAAAAUAUGAUACUCAAUAAAAGUCAAAUAUCUGAAUUUUUAAUAGAACAAAAUCAAAAAGAAAAUCAAAAGUUGCCUAGAGGUUCAUAUAUGCUAGUGUUCUUUUAGAAAUAAAAAAUAUCAGUUUUAAAAAAGCAAGGAGUUUUGCGUGAUACCUUAAUAUCAUUCUUGCAAAGUUAUAGAUAUAGACAUAGUGAAGUGAAAGUAGAGUAAAUGGUUCUUCCAAAGUCUUCUUGCUUGCAGGCACUCACUGGUUGGUUUCCAUCUGAUGAGAAUGCAUAUCCCAAAGCUAGCCAUGUGGGCUUUAUUCUUGUCUUAGUAGAAGAUGGCAAAUGCUUAUGAACUUGAAGUAGUGAUGUUUCUAUGCUGAUUGAUUACUUGACAAUUAAGAUCAAGAACCACUUUAAAUCUGCACCUAUCUUAGCAUGUAGAAAAAUUUCAAACUGGGAAGCUGGUAGUGCUCAAUCUAUCGGAGAUGUAAGCGGAAUUUCAUGGUUAUUUGUUCUGUCUCUGCCUAUUUCAUCUGGUGCCUAUAUGUGAUGAUCAUACUAUACAUCUCUGUUGCUUAUGAACUUGAAGUAGUGAUGUUUCUAUGCUGAUUGAUUACUUGACAAUUAAGAUCAAGAACCACUUUAAAUCUGCACCUAUCUUAGCAUGUAGAAAAAUUUCAAACUGGGAAGCUGGUAGUGCUCAAUCUAUCGGAGAUAUUGGUAUGUCAAUUAAAUACCGUUUUCAAAAAUUUUCAAUCUGGGAAGCUGCUAGUGAUCAAGUAUUAAAGAUCUAGAGGAAAGAAGAAUUGCUUCAUUAUUUCCUUCUAAUUGAAGGAUGUAUUUCGUUUCAACUAAAACUUUAAAUUUAUAUUGAGACUACACUUAUUAUAAUCGUAAAAACUUCUUCAUGAGAUUGAUUAUGUCCAUUCCAGGCAUUCUGUAAGGCAUUAAAUCAAAGAUUUUAUAGCGAUCCUGGUUUCAAAGAGAAGGCUUUCAAAUCCUGUAGUCAGUCUUCAGAACCUGCAAAAAUUGUAUUCUUCAGAGGUUGCAGGAAGUGCAGAAGAAUGAAAUUUUUUUUAACAGAGAAUAUUAGAGUGGUGUUACUUUUUAUUUUAACUUCAAUUCUUCACAACUAUUGAACUACUAGUUAUAUUCUAUUAAUUCAAAGAUUAAAGUAUGGGAAGUAGUUAACGCAGAAUUCUGAAGGCUAAGAUUCUUGCUUACAAAA